GAUGAACGCUGGCGGCGUGCCUAAUACAUGCAAGUCGAGCGAACGGACGAGAAGCUUGCUUCUCUGAUGUUAGCGGCGGACGGGUGAGUAACACGUGGAUAACCUACCUAUAAGACUGGGAUAACUUCGGGAAACCGGAGCUAAUACCGGAUAAUAUUUUGAACCGCAUGGUUCAAAAGUGAAAGACGGUCUUGCUGUCACUUAUAGAUGGAUCCGCGCUGCAUUAGCUAGUUGGUAAGGUAAUGGCUUACCAAGGCAACGAUGCAUAGCCGACCUGAGAGGGUGAUCGGCCACACUGGAACUGAGACACGGUCCAGACUCCUACGGGAGGCAGCAGUAGGGAAUCUUCCGCAAUGGGCGAAAGCCUGACGGAGCAACGCCGCGUGAGUGAUGAAGGUCUUCGGAUCGUAAAACUCUGUUAUUAGGGAAGAACAUAUGUGUAAGUAACUGUGCACAUCUUGACGGUACCUAAUCAGAAAGCCACGGCUAACUACGUGCCAGCAGCCGCGGUAAUACGUAGGUGGCAAGCGUUAUCCGGAAUUAUUGGGCGUAAAGCGCGCGUAGGCGGUUUUUUAGUCUGAUGUGAAAGCCCACGGCUCAACCGUGGAGGGUCAUUGGAAACUGGAAAACUUGAGUGCAGAAGAGGAAAGUGGAAUUCCAUGUGUAGCGGUGAAAUGCGCAGAGAUAUGGAGGAACACCAGUGGCGAAGGCGACUUUCUGGUCUGUAACUGACGCUGAUGUGCGAAAGCGUGGGGAUCAAACAGGAUUAGAUACCCUGGUAGUCCACGCCGUAAACGAUGAGUGCUAAGUGUUAGGGGGUUUCCGCCCCUUAGUGCUGCAGCUAACGCAUUAAGCACUCCGCCUGGGGAGUACGACCGCAAGGUUGAAACUCAAAGGAAUUGACGGGGACCCGCACAAGCGGUGGAGCAUGUGGUUUAAUUCGAAGCAACGCGAAGAACCUUACCAAAUCUUGACAUCCUUUGACAACUCUAGAGAUAGAGCCUUCCCCUUCGGGGGACAAAGUGACAGGUGGUGCAUGGUUGUCGUCAGCUCGUGUCGUGAGAUGUUGGGUUAAGUCCCGCAACGAGCGCAACCCUUAAGCUUAGUUGCCAUCAUUAAGUUGGGCACUCUAAGUUGACUGCCGGUGACAAACCGGAGGAAGGUGGGGAUGACGUCAAAUCAUCAUGCCCCUUAUGAUUUGGGCUACACACGUGCUACAAUGGACAAUACAAAGGGCAGCGAAACCGCGAGGUCAAGCAAAUCCCAUAAAGUUGUUCUCAGUUCGGAUUGUAGUCUGCAACUCGACUACAUGAAGCUGGAAUCGCUAGUAAUCGUAGAUCAGCAUGCUACGGUGAAUACGUUCCCGGGUCU
rnacentral:rRNA from 1 species